AGUCAAUAGAUACCCAGGUAGUCCCAGCUGUAAACGAUGCGCGUUAGGUGUAUCGGUGACCACGAGUCACCGAGGUGCCGAAGGGAAACCGUGAAACGUGCCGCCUGGGAAGUACGGUCGCAAGGCUGAAACUUAAAGGAAUUGGCGGGGGAGCACCACAACAGGUGGAGCCUGCGGUUUAAUCGGACUCAACGCCGGGAAGCUCACCGGAUAAGACAGCUGAAUGAUAGCCGGGUUGAAGACUCUGCUUGACUAGCUGAGAGGAGGUGCAUGGCCGUCGUCAGUUCGUACUGUGAAGCAUCCUGUUAAGUCAGGCAACGAGCGAGACCCACGCCAACAGUUGCCAGCAUGUCCUCCGGGAUGGUGGGGACACUGUUGGGACCGCCUCUGCUAAAGAGGAGGAAGGAAUGGGCAACGGUAGGUCAGCAUGCCCCGAAUUAUCCGGGCUACACGCGGGCUACAAUGGUCAGGACAAUGGGUAUCAACACCGAAAGGUGAAGGCAAUCUCCUAAA
rnacentral:rRNA from 1 species